GUCCAACCUGCCCAGUGAACUAAUUUUAAACGGCCGCGGUAUCCUAACCGUGCAAAGGUAGCAUAAUCACUUGUCCCUUAAAUAGAGACUCGUAUGAACGGUUACAUGAGGGCAUAACUGUCUCCUGUGGCCAAUCAAUGAAUUUGAGCUCACAGUACAAACGCUGUAAUAGAACUAUAAGACGAGAAGACCCUGUGGAGCUUUAAAUACACCACAUUAACUAAUUUAUUAUUAGCAUAAUGUAAAUUUUAAGUUGGGGCGACUAUGGAGUAAAAUUUAACCUCCAUGUAACACGACUAAACUCGUUAUUUAAGGCUUACAAGCCUAACCAAACAAAUGACCCAGUCAAACUGACUAACGAACCAAGUUACCCCAGGGAUAACAGCGCCAUCCCCUUAAAGAGUCCACAUCACCAAGGGGGUUUACGACCUCGAUGUUGGAUCAGGACACCCAAGUGGUGCAGCAGCUACUAAAGGUUCGUUUGUUCAACGAG
rnacentral:rRNA from 1 species